AGGAGGCAGAUUAUUAUACGAACGGCCUUCCCCUAACCGGUUAGAAUGCCAUUGCACUACAACUCCCAUGACUCCCAAGGCGAUUAGGAACUGUAGUCCAACGUAACUGAACGGCUACACUGAGAUUGCUGGGACAGCCAUCCAUCAACCAGACCGAACGCCUUAGGAGGACCAGCCUAACCCAGCCGAAGCAGCGGGCGUCGCUUUUGGGAAAGCCGGAGUAAACGCCCUCCGCCCAAAACUUAUUUCAGGGGGCUACGCCGGAUCGGCCGCCAGCCAGGAGAAAGAGCCCUAAGUUUGACCUUCUGGAUUGUAACAGCGGACAGAAUAAAACGAUCUGUUGGCAGAUCUGGCUGUUAACCGAAACGGAAUCGGCUGAAAACGGACCCUCCCCCCCCCCUCUGUCCCAAAGGUCUUGUUCAAACCGGGAGGAACAGCAGUAGACGCUUCGAAACAAGACUCUCGCUUGAAACGGGAAUUGCUCUCAUUCUUUUGUAGUGGCUUUUUAGCUUUCUGCCAUAAAUUACUAAUCAGAAAUUCCUGGUUUCCUGCGGGCCUGUUUAUGAGCCCCACCUUGCCUCGAAGAAGUCCUGAGUUCCUGUAUAAUGCUAAGCUACAGUUGACUGAACCAUGGGGGGCAGGCUUCCUAUAUUUUCAAGAAGUUGAAAUUGGGACAAAGAUCAUGAUUCAGUGGGCAUGUGCUGGCAAAGGCAUGCUUUCAGGCCUUGGUAUUCCUUUGCUUGGGCAGGAUCUGUGCCUCCCUAUUUUCUGGAGCUUUUCUCCAAACUGGCUGUGGUGCUGAAUAUUGGUGUCCACACCAGCCUUAUUGAAUUACUUGGGUUCUUACCACAUGCUAUGGCAGAAUCAAAUUAACCUUGUCACAGUUAAGCAGUUUGUUGAUUAAUACAGUACAAUACACUGUCAUAAUUUUAAACUUUUAAUAGGGUUGCUGAUUUUAAUUUUAUUUCAUUGUGAUUUGUAUUGGAAUUUGUCAUUUUGUAAGCCGCCUUGAGUCCCCAGGGAGAAAGGCGGCAUAUAAAUCACAAUAAUAAAUAAAUAAUAGCAGGCCAUGUAACUAUUAGCUAUAGUCUGGUAGUAAAUUUUUAAUGCCCAAGAAUCUGGCAUGUCUCUUCUACUUGCCUCUAGUGCAUGCCCUGCAAAAGUUAUAAUCAACUAUUAUAUAUAUUAAAGUGUGCUUGUAUAAUUAUAUUUCACUGCAACUUUGCCUUUAAGUUGCUUGCCAUUAUUGUCCUGCUAUGUGUGAUUAUAGAACACAUGUAAAGAAAGGGGGCGAGUUAAAUUUCAGUUACGAUUUCAGAUGUCUAACCAAGUUUUCCAAAUACUCACUCCGGUAUUUUCUUUUAGAAAUUGGAUUUGUCCUUCCAGAUACAGAGUAAGAAAUAAAUGUGAUUCAAUUGCUAAAAUAACAGGAUGAUUUUCAAAGAUGUAAAUCCCCAGUGUGUACUCUUGUCAAAUUGGAAAGGCAUCCUAUAUAAUUAGAUUUAGCUCAUACAAUAUUUUUUUAAAAAUGUACUUAUGUACUAAUCAAAAAGAAGGCAGGGGAUGAACAGUGCAACCAAGAUGGUUCUUCUCCAGAAAGGUACAGUAUGAUCAUUAUUUAAAUUAGAGCAGUGUAUCGAAUGGCAGAGCCAUUUAUUGCUAUCCUGGGAACCAUCAAUGGUAACUAGAAACUUGUCAGCAUGAUUUCCUAUAAUUUUGAAGCAGUAAAUAUUCAAAAACAAGUCUAACACUUUAUAUAAAAAACCCUCAAAACGUAAAAGUUCUCCAGAUAAACAGGAGAAAAGUAGAAAUCCUGACCCCCUAUAUAUAUGUGUGAUAAUGAUUAUGUGAAAAGAUUGCAUGUCAACAUUUUAGCAACUACACACUCUUCCCAGUAGCUAUAAUUGAAUAGUUGUAUAGUGUUGCAAGGAAAGAAAAAGCUACAUUCCUUACAGUCUUCAGACAUACACCAGGAAAAAAUGUAUUUACAAGAUUUAUAAAUGACGUCAUGCCAGGGUUUAGGCAGUGUCCAAAAUCAAACAGUAAUAAAAAAACAAGCUGUAAACACAGGAGGCAAUAAAGAUAUGGAACUUCCUUUACCUGCUUAAUCACCUAAAGCUUUCGAGAAAAACAAGAUUUUAACUACAGCGUUCUAUAAAACAGUGUUUCUCAACCUAACUUUAAGAUAUAUAGACAUCAACUCCCAGAAUUCCCUACCUAUGUCGGCUGGGAAUUUUGGGAUUUGAAAUCUAUACAUCAAAGUUGCCAAGGUUGAGAAACAUUUUUUUAGAAGGCCACAAGGGUAGACAUUGGUCUUUUCGGGGCAGAUUGUUCCAAAGGAACACAAGGAUGAAUUGAAGUGAGUCAAGAGUUCCCACCAAUGGAAAACAGCAACCUUACUGUGCAACAAACUCAAAUUUUGCUCCAGUUUCAUGCAGACAACUGAGAAUGAAAAUUAACCAGGUGACAAAAUCAAGUAAUGUUAUGAGGCAAAUCCUAACAGUUUCAAUGUAAUACACAGCCCUCAUAUGAAAAUGGCAUGAAAUUAGCAAAACUGAUGAUGAUUUAGAAAUCUGAAGCCAGAAUAAAAGCAAAAAUUGUACUUUUUAAUGUCACUGUUAGUAUUACAGCAUAAAUUGCUCAAUGCAUCACUAGUAUGAUUCAUAUUUACUUCACAAUUCACAUGUAUGGAACCAACUCUUGGCUUUGAGUUAUCUUUUCCAUCAUUCCACUUGAUUAUAAGCUGAAAUAUCAAAACUUGAAAGUGUAAGAAAAAUAAAUAAUAAAGACUUAAUUUAUAACAC